AUACAUAGCGUAAUGAAGCGAACCGGGGGAACUGAAACAUCUAAGUACCCCGAGGAAAAGAAAUCAACCGAGAUUCCCCCAGUAGCGGCGAGCGAACGGGGAGCAGCCCAGAGUCUGAAUCAGCAUGUGUGUUAGUGGAAGCGUCUGGAAAGUCGCACGAUACAGGGUGAAAGUCCCGUACACAAAAGUGCAUGUGUUGUGAACUCGAAGAGUAGGGCGGGACACGUGGUAUCCUGUCUGAAUAUGGGGGGACCAUCCUCCAAGGCUAAAUACUCCUGACUGACCGAUAGUGAACCAGUACCGUGAGGGAAAGGCGAAAAGAACCCCGGCGAGGGGAGUGAAAAAGAACCUGAAACCGUG
rnacentral:rRNA from 1 species